AGCCUUGUGGUGUAUUACAUGUUGGAUUGCAAAUCCAAAGAUGCCGGUUAGUCGCCGGCCGGGGCUU
rnacentral:tRNA from 1 species